rnacentral:lncRNA from 1 species
CCACCAGUCCUCCUUAAUAGCAUGUGCACUCUUGUUAUUGCUUUGGUUAGAAGAAUAUAUAACUAACUGCCUCCCUAGAUCACUACUUAUUGAAUCCUCUUCUCGAACUAUGACUUUGGUCUGUAGUAGGGAUUCAAAGCCUGAGGAUCUAUUCUUUGCCAUUGAGUUGAUUGGUAACCACUUUUCAUCUAUCCUUUGAGAAUCCCAUAGCUAAUAUUUUAGCACCAGC